CUCAGGCGCUUGAGAGAACUCAGGAGAAGGAACUCGGCAAAUUGACACCGUAACUUCGGAAGAAGGUGUGCCCCUAGUAGGUGAACGUGUACAACGGGAGCCCAAUGGGGUCGCAGAGAAUCGGUGGCUGCGACUGUUUAAUAAAAACACAGCACUCUGCAAAGACGACGAGUCGACGUAUAGGGUGUGACGCCUGCCCGGUGCCGGAAGGUUAAGUGAUGGGGUGCAAGCUCUUGAUCGAAGCCCCGGUAAACGGCGGCCGUAACUAUAACGGUCCUAAGGUAGCGAAAUUCCUUGUCGGGUAAGUUCCGACCUGCACGAAUGGCGUAACGAUGGCCACACUGUCUCCUCCUGAGACUCAGCGAAGUUGAAGUGUUUGUGAAGAUGCAAUCUCCCCGCUGCUAGACGGAAAGACCCCAUGCACCUUUACUGUAGCUUUGCAUUGGACUGUGAUGAGGUUUGUGUAGGAUAGCUGGGAGGCUUUGAAGUGGGGGCGCCAGCUCUCAUGGAGCCAACGUUGAAAUACCAGCCUGACGUCAUUGCGGUUCUAACCUUGGUCCGUGAUCCGGAUCGGGGACCGUGCAUGGCAGGCAGUUUGACUGGGGCGGUCUCCUCCCAAAGAGUAACGGAGGAGCUCGAAGGUUCGCUUAGCGCGGUCGGACAUCGCGCUUCAAUGUGUAAGGGCACAAGCGAGCUUGACUGCGAGACUGACAAGUCGAGCAGGUGCGAAAGCAGGACCUAGUGAUCCGGUGGUUCUGAAUGGAAGGGCCAUCGCUCAACGGACAAAAGGUACGCCGGGGAUAACAGGCUGAUACCGCCCAAGAGUUCAUAUCGACGGCGGUGUUUGGCACCUCGAUGUCGGCUCAUCACAUCCUGGGGCUGUAGCCGGUCCCAAGGGUAUGGCUGUUCGCCAUUUAAAGUGGUACGUGAGCUGGGUUUAAAACGUCGUGAGACAGUUUGGUCCCUAUCUGCAGUGGGCGUUGGAGAUUUGACGGGGGCUGCUCCUAGUACGAGAGGACCGGAGUGGACGCACCGCUGGUGUACCGGUUGUGACGCCAGUCGCAUCGCCGGGUAGCUAUGUGCGGAAGUGAUAACCGCUGAAAGCAUCUAAGCGGGAAACACGCCUGAAGAUGAGAUCUCCC
rnacentral:rRNA from 1 species